GUGUGCUAGGCGGGGAGAUAGCGGUGCCCUGUAACCCACAACCCGCUUAGUGGGGCUGAAUUCCUUCUGAAGGUAUAUCCUUUUUCAGAAGGUCCUCAAUUAGAAAAGAUGAAGGAAGGAAGUGAGGAAAUCCUGAGGUCACAAACCCCGCCAGGUCCGGAAGGAAGCAACGGUAAGUGAUUUUCAGGAUGUUCCCUCAUAAAUCUUUCUGGAUUUUCUAAUUGAGGAAGACCAGAGGAAGGGUAUAUCGUAGGAAGGUGCACAC
rnacentral:SRP_RNA from 1 species